AGUUUAUGAUGAGCACAUUAUUGAAAUAGUCCUUUGAAUAUAUCUCAUGCAUCAAACAAUAAUUCUCCUUCUCUUUUAUGCAAAACUUAUGAUUUGAUUUCUGAGAUG